rnacentral:rRNA from 1 species
GACGAACGCUGGCGGCGUGCUUAACACAUGCAAGUCGAACGGAAAGGCCCUGCUUUUGUGGGGUGCUCGAGUGGCGAACGGGUGAGUAACACGUGAGUAACCUGCCCUUGACUUUGGGAUAACUUCAGGAAACUGGGGCUAAUACCGGAUAGGAUCUCCUGCUGCAUGGUGGGGGUUGGAAAGUUUCGGCGGUUGGGGAUGGACUCGCGGCUUAUCAGCUUGUUGGUGGGGUAGUGGCUUACCAAGGCUUUGACGGGUAGCCGGCCUGAGAGGGUGACCGGCCACAUUGGGACUGCGGUACGGCCCAGACUCCUACGGGAGGCAGCAGUGGCGAAUAUUGCACAAUGGGAGGAAGUCUGAUGAAGAAACGCCGCGUGCGGGAUGACGGCCUUCGGGUUGUAAACAGCUGUCGCCUGUGACGAAGCGUGAGUGACGGUAAUGGGUAAAGAAGCACCGGCUAACUACGUG